rnacentral:rRNA from 1 species
AUUGAACGCUGGCGGCAGGCCUAACACAUGCAAGUCGAGCGGAUGACGGGAGCUUGCUCCUUGAUUCAGCGGCGGACGGGUGAGUAAUGCCUAGGAAUCUGCCUGGUAGUGGGGGACAACGUUUCGAAAGGAACGCUAAUACCGCAUACGUCCUACGGGAGAAAGCAGGGGACCUUCGGGCCUUGCGCUAUCAGAUGAGCCUAGGUCGGAUUAGCUAGUAGGUGAGGUAAUGGCUCACCUAGGCGACGAUCCGUAACUGGUCUGAGAGGAUGAUCAGUCACACUGGAACUGAGACACGGUCAAGACUCCUACGGGAGGCAGCAGUGGGGAAUAUUGGACAAUGGGCGAAAGCCUGAUCCAGCCAUGCCGCGUGUGUGAAGAAGGUCUUCGGAUUGUAAAGCACUUUAAGUUGGGAGGAAGGGCAGUAAGCGAAUACCUUGCUGUUUUGACGUUACCGACAGAAUAAGCACCGGCUAACUCUGUGCCAGCCGCCGCUGUAACAC